UAGCGUAGGGGGCAAGCGUUGUCCGGAAUCAUUGGGCGUAAGCGCGCGUAGGCGGCCCGGUAAGUCCGCUGUAAAAGUCAGGGGCUCAACCCUUGAACGCCGGUGGAUACUGCCGGGCUAGAGUCCGGAAGAGGCGAGUGGAAUUCCUGGUGUAGCGGUGGAAUGCGCAGAUAUCAGGAGGAACACCAAUAGCGAAGGCAGCUCGCUGGGACGGUACUGACGCUGAGGCGCGAAAGCGUGGGGAGCGAACAGG
rnacentral:rRNA from 1 species